AGUGAACGCUGGCGGUAGGCCUAACACAUGCAAGUCGAACGGCAGCACAGUAAGAGCUUGCUCUUACGGGUGGCGAGUGGCGGACGGGUGAGGAAUAUAUCGGAAUCUACUUUUUCGUGGGGGAUAACGUAGGGAAACUUACGCUAAUACCGCAUACGACCUACGGGUGAAAGCAGGGGAUCUUCGGACCUUGCGCGAUUGAAUGAGCCGAUGUCGGAUUAGCUAGUUGGCGGGGUAAAGGCCCACCAAGGCGACGAUCCGUAGCUGGUCUGAGAGGAUGAUCGGCCACCCUGGAACUGAGACACGGUCCCGGCUCCUACGGGAGGCCGCAGUGGGGAAUAUUGGACAAUGGGGGCAAGCCUGAUACAGCCAUACCGCGUGGGUGAAGAAGGCCUUCGGGUUGUAAAGCCCUUUUGUUGGGAAAGAAAAGCAGCAGGUUAAUACCCCGCUGUUCUGACGGUACCCAAAGAAUAAGCACCGGCUAACUUCGUG
rnacentral:rRNA from 1 species